rnacentral:sRNA from 1 species
CGGAUCUGUUGUGGCGUAUGCAGGUGACAACACAAAGAAAAC